rnacentral:lncRNA from 1 species
AAGAAGUCAGGCCGGAUUAAGCCAUAGUACGGUAAGAGCUAUGCUGCCUGUGAGCCCCGUCUAAGGACGUUAAAUGAAGUCAGGCCGAAAGCCACGGCUUGAGCAAACCGUGCUGCCUGUAGCUCCAUCGUGGGGAUGUAAAAACCUGGGAGGCUGCAACCCAUGGAAGCUGUACGCAUGGGGUAGCAGACUAGUGGUUAGAGGAGACCCCUCCCGAAACACAACGCAGCAGCGGGGCCCAACACCAG